CAGCAUCUUUCGCUCCCACCCCGCCUGCUUGGUGGUGGAGGCGGUGGUGGCGGCAGCAGCAGAGGCAGCCGUUGUUCCUGCCUCUCCACCACCUCCACCGCUGCCUGUCCUUUGGCGGGCGGCGUUGGCGGGGAGGG
rnacentral:miRNA from 1 species